rnacentral:lncRNA from 10 species
GUAAAAAUACCUCCAAAUAAGGAAGAGGAACAGGCUAUGACCUAAUGCUUGCUUGGACUAGUAUAAGCAUGCCAGGGCAAAUAUUUAGGCUAAAUUGUGGGAGCUAAGAACACAAAGUACAUUGAUUUCUUUAUUACGGCUAGCAGAUAUCUGAGAAUGUUAGCACAGGUCUUUGAAUAAAUUUUGCUUCUAAGAGAAGUUACUAUUUAUUCCUAAUUAGACAGGGAGGAAAGUCUUUUUGAAGAGGAACCUCUACUUUACUUUUUACAUGCCAUUUGCUUCCACACUUGGUUUCACUUAGCCUUUUUAUUUUUUGUUUUCUGCUCUAUUAGUAAAACUGAAAAUUCUCUAAAAAUUUAAAAUGUGCAUUACAAAUUGAAGAUCAUGUAUAGUCAACAUUACUGUUGAAGAUCUCUUAAAUUGCCCAUAAGGCACAAUAUAUUGCAUUUAUGAGCCACCUUGGAGGCUGACAUUCUGUCUCUCAGUAAGUCCAACCUAGAGGAUUUUCCUUGCAGCAUUGGAACAGAUGGCUCAUCCUUCUAUUGAGCCCCAGAGGAAGUCAUUGGCUUGCAUGUAGGACUUCUAGACUUGGACUCAGACUGCUAGAUGCCCACACUAUGAGAGGCACCUGGAAACAGACCAACUGAGAGAAUGACACGUUUGUGUCUUCUAUAUUCUGCUUACUUUGGGCAUUAAUUUGCUUAGUCAAAUGAUGCUUAUACUUCCCUCUCUCAAGCCUUCUUCAGUUCAUAUGAAUUAAAUGUGUGUACAUUCUAUUUCUAGGGUAAAAAAGUAUUAAAUGAUGAAAGACAACUAGAAUAUCCACAAUUUUUAAAAAACUCUUUAGAAAAGAAGAAAAAGAAGAGCAACCUACAGAGGUCACUUGCCCAGAUCUUAUAGCACAUCUUGCUGGAGGAAGACAAUAAAGUAGAUCAUAGGGCCAGCAAACUUAAUGUGCAUCUGUUUGUUAAUUUACUUCCUUAAGAGUGGAUUAAGUUCAGUAUGGCCGCCCCAGGAUUCUGCUAGGAGGGUUUUCCUUAUUUGUAUCCAACAGGGCCAUCCCUGAGUAUGAUGAUUAAUGUUAUGUGUCAACUUGACUAGGCUAAGGAAUACUCAAAUAGCUGGUAACACAUUAUUUCUGGGUGUGUCUGUGAGGAUGUUUCUGGAAGAGAUUAGCACUUGAAUCAGUAGAUUAAGUAGAGAUCACCCUCACCAACAUGGGUGAGUGUCAUUCAAUCCAUUGAGGACCUGGAUAGAACAAAAAGGUGAAGGAAGGGUGCAUUUGUUCUCUCUGCUUGAGGUGGGACAUCCAUCUUCUUCCACCCUCAGACAGCUGUGCUCCUGAUUCUCAGGCCUCGGGACCCAGACCAGGAUUUCCAUCAGCUCCCCUGGCUCGCAGGCCUUCUGACUUCUGACUCACCAUCAGCUCUCCUGGAUCCAGCUUGCCAAUGGCAGAUCGUGGGACUCCUUGCCCUCUAAUCGCAUGAAACAAUGCCCACAAGAGAAAAUAAAAGCAGUCAGAGGAGAAUGGAGAAUUUCCCCUAUUCCCCAGCAUGUGGAGCCAUGGACUCUGCCUUCUCCCAGUCAAGAUGGUACAGAAUCUCAUAUUCCCAGCAUUUCUCAUCACAGAAUUCCCCUUUCUGUCCUGCUAGCAAAGGCCAUGCUGCCACUCAGCGCCGGACCCCUUCUCCUCUCGCUUACUCAGUGGCACUGUUGGAGCUACCCUCCCCUCUCCUGCAUUAUCAUUUUACUUUUCUCUUGGAUCAUUUCAAUUGGCCUAAAACAACUUGUAAUUUCACCCUUCUGAAAACAAAAUCCUUAUUUGACCCCUUUCCCUCUUCUACUAGUGCCUCAUUUCUUUGUUCCCCUGACUCUUUAAAACAAAACUUCAUGAA